AAUAACUGGAGGGGAAAAAAAUCUUCCAUGCAAUAAAACAAAUUAGAAGACUAAACAGGAAAACCUCUGGUUCAAACACCUUCCCAGCUUGUGUCUAUGAAAGUCAUGUGAUUUAUUGUUUUUCUGCUUUAUCUACACACACCUUGAUCUUUUUUUCUUUUCCCCUGGCUGUGCUGGAUCUUUGUUGCUGUUCUUGGGCUUCAGUAGUUGCUCCGCUGAAUGUGGGAUCUUCCCAGAACAGGGAUCGAACCUGUGUCCCCUACAUUGGCUGGCAGAUUCGUAACCACUGGACCAGGGGAAGUCCCACCUUGAUCUUCUUAGUAUUUUCAGUAAAUAUCCCCUGACCCCUGAAAUGACAUGUCGUCUGCUUGCUGUGUGUCCACAUUCUGGGAAGCUAAAGAACACUCAGCACCCAGGGCAACAGCAGAUGCCCAGCAGCCUUCAGGUUUCAGCAAUCUCACCCAGCAGGACAGCCAUUACUUGAAAUCAGUGGGAGCAGCACUUGCCUCAGAAGCAUCCUAUAAGUGGAGCCUUUGCAGAGGAAAUGUGCUGAAAUGACAGAAACUGUGCAUAAUUAAAAUUAAGCAUUGCAUGGCCCCCAAUUUAAUUUAAAUUUAAAUUGAAUGGGUGUAAAUGUUAGGUAUUAAAUGGCUCUAAUUUCUACAGUUCUCAUUUCAUGCUUUUUUAAAAACCUAUUCUAACAAUUCAUGAGAAAACUUUGAAAACUGUUUCCAAAGGUAUUGUGGAUUAAAACCAGCACCACAAAGCCACAUCCAAAGAACAGUUUCACCUAAUAUAACAAAAGAGAAGUUCACCUUUACUUGAGCAAGAUAUCUUCACCAAGGUAGGUCAGAUCCCCAAAAUGACAUCUAUCCCUUUAGAACUUUUCAUGAAAGAGAUCUGGGAUUUACUUAUGAGCAUGCCUGCUUCAUAAGCAAUAUUGAAGACCUUGGAGUGUCUGGGUUUUGACCAGCUACUCAAUGAAAACUUGAAGUAGCUCCUCUGUCUCCUCGCACAAAUUUAUCACUGUCUUAGGAAAGCUAGUAACCAAGGUGAAUUGUGUCUGUAGACCAAUGCAUGGUUCCUAAACCCAGUUAGAAAUGGCAGUUACCUAGGAAAACUGCAUGAAAUGUAAAUUUCUGGCUCCUAACUCAGACUUCUUUUUUACAAUUUUAUUUCAUUUUGGCCUUGGUGGGUCUUCUUUGCCGCACAGGCAUUCUCUAGUUGCAGCCAGCGGGGGCUCCUCUCCGCUUGCGGUGUCCAUGGG
ensembl:lncRNA